UACAGAGGGUGCGAGCGUUAAUCGGAAUUACUGGGCGUAAAGCGUGCGUAGACGGUUAUUUAAGUCGGGUGUGAAAGCCCCGGGCUCAACCUGGGAAUUGCAUUCGAGACUGAAUAGCUAGGGUACGGUAGAGGGAAGUGGAAUUUCCGGUGUAGCGGUGAAAUGCGUAGAUAUCGGAAGGAACAUCAGUGGCGAAAGCGACUUCCUGGACCAGUACCGACGUUCAGGCACGAAAGCGUGGGGAGCAAACAGGAAUUAG
rnacentral:rRNA from 1 species